rnacentral:rRNA from 1 species
GGAAGUGAAAUGAAAGAAAAUUUAUAAAAACAAUCGGCAAAAGGAAAUAUAAACUCAAAAUAAAUAAAGAAAAAAGAGAAAUGAGAUAAUUAGAAUGAAAUCCAAAUCCAGAGAACCAUCGAGUAUUUGAACGCAAGUUGCGCCCAAAGCCAUUAGGAUGAGGGCACGUAAGCGUGGGCGUCACAUAUAGUUGCCCUGUGCCCCAUGCCUAUUUUUGAUAGGCACCGUGCAGGGCGAAUGUUGGCUUCCCGUGAGCUCUUUUGCCUCACGGUUGGCUGAAAACUGAGUCCUUGGUAGGGUGUGUGCCAUGAUAGAUGGUGGAUGUGUGACCCACGAGACCGGUCAUGUGCAGGUUUACCAGAUUUGGCCUAUGUGACCCACAUGCGUCUCUUGGAUGCUGGAGUACGAAAAUUUGGAAAGAUG